UUUGCAGCGGGUCCCUGAAGGCAGCACAGCCCGCCUGUCAUAGAGGAUCUUUGACUUGCGGUUUUGCAGUAAAUCCUUAAAAAACAGCGGGACGCUCCGCAGGGACAAUCAUCCUCCCCAUGACAAGCCAGUGAAGCAUCGCCAUGAUUUUGAAGCUGUUAAAUGAAGUCUAAUCAUAAGACGCCAUGCGGAGGGAUGGAUGGAUGGCUUCCUGAAUCAUGACUCAGCCUGAGGAACAAGUAUAAGAGAAUCUGUAGGUGUACGUGAAGCACACAAGUUCGUCCUGUCCCUUGAGGAGAGUGCUCCUGAUCUCAACGUGUUAUGUAGAUCGAAGACACGUGCCCUCCAUUCAAACAUCCGUUGCCAUGGGCAAGACCAAAGAGCUGUCAAAGGACCUCGGGGACAGGAUUGUAGACCUGCACAAGAAGGGAACGAGACCCCUGGAGGUGCAAUAAUUAGCAGUGACUUGCCCUCGCUCUGGAGCUCCAUGCAAGAUUUCAGCAGGAACCAGCCCAGAAUGACAGGGGAGGAGCUGGUUAGGGACGUCAAGGGAGUUGGGAGCACAGUCAGCAAGAAAACAGUUAGUAACACUUUGCUGUGACGUACGACGGAGUGUGAGGGCCACAUUGAAAAAAAUAAUCUGAGAUUACGAGAAUAAAGUCAUAAAUUUAUGAGAAAAAAAUUUGAGUUUUUUUCUCAUAAAUUUCCGACUUUAUUAUCAUAAUAUUACGGGUUUGUUGUGGUAAAUUGACAUCUUUAUUACUCCGUCGUAACAGGCAUUGCCUGGGGCAGCUAUGAAAAAGGGGGGCUUAUGUGACCGCUGGCCUUGGGCAUGUGGAGGGGCGGUGAAAGGAAGUGAGAAGGGCUAGCCAUGCUAAUCUGUUGGUGCUCAACUGCUGUGUUUUGCUGCCACGUUAUAAAUAAAAGCUUAAGGAACUCAAACAAUGUACAGAGAUGAGCAAAUUCAAAAAACAAUACAAGCAGUUGAUGUUUGUUAAAUACAAGGCAGAAGAGUCUUGAUCAUCACAAUGAUGUUCUGUCAGGUUCGUUUUUUUUAAUUUAUAUUUAUUUUAUAUAUAUAUUUAUAUAUAUACAUACAGUAUAUACAUCUUUUUGUCUUCUUACUGUUAUUUAUGAUGUAUUAUUAUUCUGAUUAUCAUAGGAAACAUGACAUGAAAUGCAGGAAGUGAAUAAUAUGUACUGUACUAGAUGUAGAAUAGA